CCCCAAAAAAUUUCCCCCCGGGGGAAAAAAUUUUCCCCCCGGGGGAAAAWWUUUGGGGGGUUUUUAAAAAACCCCCCAAAAAAGGGGGGCCCCCCUUUUAAAAAACCCCCCGGGGGGUUUAAAAAACCCCCGGGGGGUUUUUCCC
rfam:Georgenia sp. STBG003 Ion020_assembly_c1209, whole genome shotgun sequence.